ACUGGUGUGAGACAUCACAUCAAUGGUUCUCUCCCCUCUCUUGUUGCCUUGUGAAGGUGUAUCAAUUCAAGGCUUCAUCCCAUUUUUCUAUGAAGUUUGGCGUACGUGCGAAGUAGAGGAUUUAUGGAUUUAGACCUACGUAAGGCUUUGGAUUCAAAAUCUUUAAAGAUUUGAUUUUUAUUCUACUGUGUAUCAUUUAAAAAUUUAAUUUUUAUUAAGUUAUUAUA
rnacentral:lncRNA from 1 species